AGAUGUUAAAAGCAAGAGACAUGGGAGAGCAUCAUUCCUUUGAGAUUUUAUAACACAAACCAACUUUGGAGUUGUCUGAUUUGGAGAGUCAUUAUUCUUGGUCUUCGCUCUUAGAGGCCACUGAUGAAGAACAGGCGGUGACUGGGAUGAAUCCUGGUUAGAGAGGAGAAUCUUCUUUCCCCUAAACUGAUGCAGCGGUGGUUUUAAAGGAGGACGCUGCCCUGGAUGAUGUAGAUGUCGUCACAUGCUGUGCUGAUGGGGUUUCUUCAUGAUUACAUCAGUUAUGCUAAAGAGAUCAUGAAAAUUGACUGUGAUACAUGAUCUGUAUUCAUGGACUAUGAAACAAACUGUAAGUGUAUAAUUUGUUAAAAAAAAAAGUUAAAUGCUUUUUCUGUGUUGUUUAGUAGAAGAGUUUACACUCUUGUCAUUCAUACACCUGCUCACAUUCUUUCACACACACACACACACACAUGCGUCUGUUAAAGGUUAUAAUAUCAAAGUUAAUGUUUUGAUUUAUUUGUGUACUGUCAUGCCAGAAUAGUUGGAAAAAAACCUAACUAAUUGUAAAUUUAUUGUAUGUGUUUUCGUAUAUUUUUAUACAAUAUAUACAAUUGAACAAAGUCCAAUUUGAUCUUAAGUUAUAUUCAUCAAAUGUUCAAUGCUUUGUUUAUGAACUCUGUAGCUGUUAAUGCCAUCCUUUUCUGCAUUUCUUCUAACAUGUUACUUUUUGACUUUUCUCUUGUUUUUAAUAAAUAUUUUCCUUUUGGUAAUUA